AUUGAACGCUGGCGGCAGGCUUAACACAUGCAAGUCGAGCGGAGAUGAGGUGCUUGCACCUUAUCUUAGCGGCGGACGGGUGAGUAAUGCUUAGGAAUCUGCCUAUUAGUGGGGGACAACAUUCCGAAAGGAAUGCUAAUACCGCAUACGUCCUACGGGGGAAAGCAGGGGAUCUUCGGACCUUGCGCUAAUAGAUGAGCCUAAGUCGGAUUAGCUAGUUGGUGGGGUAAAGGCCUACCAAGGCGACGAUCUGUAGCGGGUCUGAGAGGAUGAUCCGCCCCACUGGCACUGAGACACGGCCCAGACUCCUACGGGAGGCAGCAGUGGGGAAUAUUGGACAAUGGGGGGAACCCUGAUCUAGCCAUGCCGCGUGUGUGAAGAAGGCCUUAUGGUUGUAAAGCACUUUAAGCGAGGAGGAGGCUACUGAGACUAAUACUCUUGGAUAGUGGACGUUACUCGCAGAAUAAGCACCGGCUAACUCUGUGCCAGCAGCCGCCGUAACAC
rnacentral:rRNA from 1 species